rnacentral:rRNA from 1 species
UUCCUACGGGCGGCAGCAGCUAAGAAUCUUCCGCAAUGGGCGAAAGCCUGACGGAGCGAUGCCGCGUGAUCGAUGAAGGUCGAGAGAUUGUAAAGAUCUUUUCCAACUGAGGAAUAAGUGGAUCAGGGAAUGGGUUCAUGAUGACGUUAAGUUGGGAAUAAGCCCCGGCUAAUUACGUGCCAGCAGCCGCGGUAACACGUAAGGGGCGAGCGUUGUUCGGAAUUAUUGGGCGUAAAGGGCACGCAGGCGGUUUUACAAGUCUGAUGUUAAAGACCUGGGCUUAACUCAGGGGAUGCGUUGGAAACUGUAAGACUAGAAUCUUGGAGGGGGAGUCGGAAUUCCUAGUGUAGGGGUGAAAUCUGUUGAUAUUAGGAAGAACACCGGUGGCGAAGGCGGACUCCUGGCCGAAGAUUGACGCUGAGGUGCGAAAGCAUAGGGAGCAAACAGGAUUAGAUACCCCGGUAGUC